UACGUAGGGUGCAAGCGUUGUCCGGAAUUAUUGGGCGUAAAGAGCUCGUAGGCGGUCUGUCGCGUCGGCUGUGAAAACUCGGGGCUCAACUCCGAGCUUGCAGUCGAUACGGGCAGGCUAGAGUCCGGUAGGGGACCACGGAAUUCCUGGUGUAGCGGUGAAAUGCGCAGAUAUCAGGAGGAACACCGGUGGCGAAGGCGGUGGUCUGGGCCGGUACUGACGCUGAGGAGCGAAAGCGUGGGGGAGCGAACAGG
rnacentral:rRNA from 1 species